ACCUUUACGAAUUCUUCUCUUUUCACUCUCUCUAAGACCUGAUAUUUUACAUCUUUGAACCAUCUUCCCCUUUCCCAUAAUCCCACGUUCUCAAAACCAAUUUCUCUCUCGCUCUCUCUCUCUCUCUCUACCGUUUCGCCGUACCGGUACUUGAACCCUAUAAUCCCACCUUAUUCCUACGCAAUUCACGUAUUAUUUUCAUCACAACAGAAAUGACAAACUGGUGGAUUCUCCCUCUCAAUCACGUAAUCAGGAUAGCACUUGGAGCAGACGCAACGAUUUUCCGCCGAGCUCAUUAUCUCCUUUUCUGCUUGGAUUGACUUGGCAUCCUCAUUUUCACAGGUUCUUUUGAUAUGUGUCCCACUUAUCUUCUUUACUUUUUGUUCAUUUUGUUUCAUGAAUUAUUAUUAUUAUUAUUUUGGAUCUUUUUUUAUGUAUUCAGUUCAAUUUUUUCGCAUAUAUACUCUGUUUGGGGCUUGAAGGCAGAAAUAAUUGAUUUUUGGGGGGAGAGUGUUUAUUAUGAAUGCUCUAAAUUUGUUUAUGGAUUCGUUGACGAUUAUGUCGUCCCCAUUUCUUUCUACGAAUCUUUCCGCUUCAGAAAUCCUAAAAAGUUUUAGGACAAGAAUUAGUUGGACACUUCAACAUAUUCUAGAUUUAGCUUUGAUAGUUUGGUGAAAAACAGUUUGCCAAGCGCUUUUCGGUAUAUUUUGAUGCCUUUAAACUUCGAAUUUUGUUACCAUAUAUCUGUUUACUUGAUUUUAAUAGUAUACUUAAAUCUAAAUUUAUGAAAACAUAUUAGGAAUAAGAAAACUCGCUCCUCUCGAGGCUAGAGUAGAAAGGUUUUUUGACUAAAGGCGUUAAUAUGAUUCUCUUUUAAAGUUCUAAAGUUUUACACUCUGCAUUAUUGCUAUUUAUUGAAGUGAUUGAGGAUGUUUCAUAAUUGAAUUAGUAUAUGUAUUCUCUUUAUUGUAGAUGUUUCCUCUAUAUCAGAAUGCAUACACAGAAAUCAACUUCAUAAGCUUUAUUAUUGGUUCAGACUUUCUCAUUGUUUGUACGUUAUUAUUUAAGAUAUUGGUCAUAGUUUUUAACUUAUCAUGUCUGAGGAUAUAUUCAAAAUCUGCACAUUUGUGAAAAGGGAUAGAAAAAAUGCUUAUACUUUGUUGAUUUUUUCAGUUAAGUGAUAGUUGACCAAGAAAAGUACCAGGAGUAACUAGCUCUCCUCUAAUUCUUUUGAAGUUUUAUUGAGUUUCAUAUUUGAAAGGAUCAUUGUAUUUUUUUAUCUUUUUGUGAAAAUUUAGAGUGUCAUUUGCUCUAGGUUUCUUUUAACAAGUUUAUUGAUUUGUUAAAGGCAUUGGAAUAACUCAACGAUAGGUUGGUAGAUUUUCACGACUCCUUUAGUUUUCUUUAUCUCCUAUAUCUAUGGACGUUUUCAUAAUUGAGAUAAAGGUUUUGAUUUUUCCAUGUUUCUGUUUUCAUGUGAAUUGAGAUUUGUGUUGCACAAAAGAAAGAAAUGAUGGGUUCUUAAAUAAUUGAGAUGUCUGUCUUUGUUUACACUCUGUUUAUCCUCUCUAGAAUUGCAAUACAUACCUACUCCCUCUAUGUUGUAAUUUGUUUGCCAUGUUUUGGAUGUAGAUUUAUCACGUUAUCACAAUUAUUUCAUUCAAAUAGGAUUGGUUAAUCCAGUUAAUUUUUAUCUCUCGAUUAGAGUUAGUUCUUAUGCUACCCGUAAUAUUAAUAGCACAAAAAUUGAAGCCUUAAGAUAAUAAAAAACAUACUGAAAUCUUUUCAUUAACAACACCUCAGAGGCGCAAUGAAUUUUUAGUAGAUGCAGGAGGUCAUUGUUGGGCGCUACACACCUUCGUAUGCCCAGUAAAAGUAUGUAGUGGCUGGCUAAUUUUUCUUAUGUUGUAAUGAAUACGGUCAUUAUGCAAAACGAACCGCACGAGAAUAUAACUUCAUACAUCUAUGAAUAAAGAUAUGGAGGCUGCUGUGAUUAGGAUUAUCAGGCUCUGGCACUGAAAGCAGCGAUGUGCUGCACUUAUCUUCUAUUCGUUUCCUUUGAAAUUCUUUAGGAUUUUACAAUUUACAUUGAACAAUAUCUAGAUGUGUUUUUUGUUAUUUUAUAUUAUAUCUUAUAUUCCAAAUGGUUAUACUAUAUUUUUAGAUACUAAUUUUUAUGUGUAACUUGGGUUAUUCCUUUAAUAUCAAUUCAUGAUAUAUUAGUUCAAUAAAAGAGUUAGAAUCAAAGAAUUUAAGAGUA